rnacentral:ribozyme from 1 species
CUCUGCACCAAAACCAGCAGUCACAGUAGAGUCGCGUGCGCGUGCCGUGUCAACCGCACCCGCAAUGGUUGCUUCUCCAGUUCCUGUUGCGAGUGAUGUUGAUUUAGACUUCUUGG